UUUGGCAAAGAGUUUGUGUUGGUUAACAUCCAAACGUGAAACACUGUGAAGAAGAAAACUUUCUGUAUUCUUCAUCUUCUUCCUCUUUCAAAUUUCCUCUCAAGAAUUCCCUCAAUUCCUUCACUAAAAUCUAAGGCAAACCCACCACUCUUCCUAGGUUCUCACCUUGAGGAUAAUGAGGAAGACUUCUUGUGGUGGAGUCCAAGAAGGACUGUGACUGCGUUCGUGCUUGAGGUGUUCGGACAGAGGAGAAGAGAUGGUGAUCACCGAAGAAGGAUUCGUAAAGAAAAGUUCUUCAAGGGAGUUUAUUUUAAGCAAUGGCAAUAAUCUCGAGCUCUUCAUUCCUACAGCAGGAGUUCAAUUCCAUCCAUCUGUCGAUAAAACUUUCAUUAAUGUCUCUUCUGGGUGGAAAAUUCAGGGAUAAAUCUUGCCAAAUAAGAUUAGAUCAGUUGGAUUUUUUAAUUGAAUAAAUUUAUUCAAGUGUUUUUGAUAGAUGUCUCAGAAUUUAUAUUAGAGGUUGUCUCGCAGGAUGCUAUUUCUACAUAAUAUUUCUUUCUUUAUUUGUUAUAUGUUUUUGUGGUUUAUUUUCUAUGAGAUCUUUUCCUUAUUUAUCCCAAAUUUAAAUGGGGAUUUUCAUCUUUCCACUGUGCUGGUUAAGGGCAAGAUACUUUGCUUCUUAGGGUUGCCGCUCGUAUUGAGAGAGGAUUCUUAUUGUGUGUCUUGGACAGAAAAAAAAAAAAUAUAUCCAUGUAUUGUUCAUAGUUCGUAAAACAAGAAGUUUAUUAUGUGAUUGGUGACU